rnacentral:rRNA from 1 species
AGGCGACGAUCCGUAACUGGUCUGAGAGGAUGAUCAGUCACACUGGAACUGAGACACGGUCCAGACUCCUACGGGAGGCAGCAGUGGGGAAUAUUGGACAAUGGGCGAAAGCCUGAUCCAGCCAUGCCGCGUGUGUGAAGAAGGUCUUCGGAUUGUAAAGCACUUUAAGUUGGGAGGAAGGGCAGUAAGUUAAUACCUUGCUGUUUUGACGUUACCGACAGAAUAAGCACCGGCUAACUCUGUGCCAGCAGCCGCGGUAAUACAGAGGGUGCAAGCGUUAAUCGGAAUUACUGGGCGUAAAGCGCGCGUAGGUGGUUUGUUAAGUUGGAUGUGAAAGCCCCGGGCUCAACCUGGGAACUGCAUCCAAAACUGGCAAGCUAGAGUACGGUAGAGGGUGGUGGAAUUUCCUGUGUAGCGGUGAAAUGCGUAGAUAUAGGAAGGAACACCAGUGGCGAAGGCGACCACCUGGACUGAUACUGACACUGAGGUGCGACAGCGUGGGGAGCAAACAGGAUUAGAUACCCUGGUAGUCCACGCCGUAAACGAUGUCAACUAG